CCUACGGGUGGCAGCAGUGAGGCAUAUUGGUCAAUGGGCGCGAGCCUGAACCAGCCAAGUAGCGUGAAGGAUGACUGCCCUACGGGUUGUAGACUUCUUUUAUAAAGGAAUAAAGUGAGGCACUUGUACCUUUUUGUAUGUACUUUAUGAAUAAGGUUCGGCUAACUCCGUGCCAGCAGCCGCGGUAAUACGGAGGAUCCGAGCGUUAGCCGGAUUUAUUGGGUUUAAAGGGAGCGUAGAUGGGUUGUUAAGUCAGUUGUGAAAGUGUGCGGCUCAACCGUACAAUUGAAAUUGAUACUGGCAGUCUUGAGUACAGUUGAGGUAGGCGGAAUUCGUGGUGUAGCGGUGAAAUGCUUAGAUAUCACGAAGAACUACGAUUGCGAAGGCAGCUUACUAAACUGCCACUGACAUUGAUGCUAGAAAGUGUGGGUAUCAAACAGGAGUAGAUACCCGGGUAGUC
rnacentral:rRNA from 1 species